rnacentral:rRNA from 1 species
CCUACGGGUGGCAGCAGUGAGGAAUAUUGGUCAAUGGGCGCGAGCCUGAACCAGCCAAGUAGCGUGAAGGAAGACUGCCCUACGGGUUGUAAACUUCUUUUAUCAAGGAGUAAAGUGAGGCACGUGUGCCUCUUUGUAUGUACUUUCUGAAUAAGGAUCGGCUAACUCCGUGCCAGCAGCCGCGGUAAUACGGAGGAUCCGAGCGUUAUCCGGAUUUAUUGGGGUUAAAGGGAGCGUAGAUGGGUUGUUAAGUCAGUUGUGAAAGUUGGGGGCUUAACCCUAAAAUUGAAAUUGAUACUGGAAGUCUUGAGUACAGUUGAGGUAGGCGGAAUUCGUGGUGUAGCGGUGAAAUGCUUAGAUAGCACGAAGAACUCCGAUUGCGAAGGCAGCUUACUAAACUGCCACUGACAUUGAUGCUCGAAAGUGUGGGUAUCAAACAGGAUUAGAUACCCUUGUAGUC